AACGCGAAGAACCUUACCCAGACUUGACAUCCUCGGGAUCCUGCAGAGAUGUGGGAGUGCCCGCAAGGGAGCCGAGAGACAGGUGCUGCAUGGCUGUCGUCAGCUCGUGUCGUGAGAUGUUGGGUUAAGUCCCGCAACGAGCGCAACCCUCGCCUUUAGUUGCCAGCAUUAAGUUGGGCACUCUAGAGGGACUGCCGGUGUCAAGCCGGAGGAAGGUGGGGAUGACGUCAAGUCCUCAUGGCCUUUAUGUCUGGGGCUACACACGUGCUACAAUGGUCGGUACAGAGGGAAGCAAAGCCGCGAGGCGGAGCCAAUCCCAGAAAACCGGCCCCAGUUCGGAUCGAAGUCUGCAACUCGACUUCGUGAAGUCGGAAUCGCUAGUAAUCGCGGAUCAGAACGCCGCGGUGAAUACGUUCCCGGGCCUUGUACACACCGACGCAC
rnacentral:rRNA from 1 species